rnacentral:rRNA from 1 species
AAGGAAUCGUACCCCAAACCGACACAGGUGGUCGGGUAGAGAAUACCAAGGCGCUUGAGAGAACUCGGGUGAAGGAACUAGGCAAAAUGGUACCGUAACUUCGGGAGAAGGUACGCUCUUAUCAGUGAAGUCCCUUGCGGAUGGAGCAGACGAGAGUCGCAGAUACCAGGUGGCUGCAACUGUUUAUUAAAAACACAGCACUGUGCAAAAUCGUAAGAUGACGUAUACGGUGUGACGCCUGCCCGGUGCCGGAAGGUUAAUUGAUGGGGUUAGUCUUCGGACGAAGCUCUUGGUAGCGAAAUUCCUUGUCGGGUAAGUUCCGACCUGCACGAAUGGCGUAAUGAUGGCCACGCUGUCUCCACCCGAGACUCAGUGAAAUUGAAAUCGCUGUGAAGAUGCAGUGUACCCGCGGCUAGACGGAAAGACCCCGUGAACCUUUACUACAGCUUGGCACUGAACAUUGAACCUACAUGUGUAGGAUAGGUGGGAGACUAUGAAAUUGCGUCGCUAGAUGUGAUGGAGUCGUCCUUGAAAUACCACCCU